CAGUAGCCGCGGGAAUACAGAGGGUGCAAGCGUUAAUCGGAAUUACUGGGCGUAAAGCGCGCGUAGGUGGUUUGUUAAGUUGGAUGUGAAAGCCCCGGGCUCAACCUGGGAACUGCAUCCAAAACUGGCAAGCUAGAGUACGGUAGAGGGUGGUGAAAUUUCCUGUGUAGCGGUGAAAUGCGUAGAUAUAGGAAGGAACACCAGUGGCGAAGGCGACCACCUGGACUGAUACUGACACUGAGGUGCGAAAGCGUGGGGAGCAAACAGGAUUAGAGACCCCCGUAGUCCCUGUCUCUUAUAC
rnacentral:rRNA from 1 species